rnacentral:rRNA from 1 species
CAGUCGCCACGGUAAUACGUAGGGUGCAAGCGUUAAUCGGAAUUACUGGGCGUAAAGCGUGCGCAGGCGGUUUGUUAAGUCUGAUGUGAAAGCCCCCGGCUCAACCGGGGAGGGUCAUUGGAAACUGGGAAACUUGAGUGCAGAAGAGGAGAGUGGAAUUCCACGUGUAGCGGUGAAAUGCGUAGAGAUGUGGAGGAACACCAGUGGCGAAGGCGGCCAUCUGGGACAACACUGACGCUGAGGCACGAGAGCGUGGGGAGCAAACAGGAUUAGAUACCCCAGUAGUCCCUGUCUCUUAUAC